rnacentral:rRNA from 1 species
AUUGAACGCUGGCGGCAUGCCUUACACAUGCAAGUCGAACGGCAGCACGGGGCAACCUGGUGGCGAGUGGCGAACGGGUGAGUAAUGCAUCGGAACGUGCCAUUGAGUGGGGGAUAACGUAGCGAAAGUUGCGCUAAUACCGCAUAUUCUGUGAGCAGGAAAGCAGGGGGACCGCAAGGCCUUGCGCUCUUUGAGCGGCCGAUGUCAGAUUAGCUAGUUGGUGAGGUAACGGCUUACCAAGGCGACGAUCUGUAGCGGGUCUGAGAGGAUGAUCCGCCACACUGGAACAGAGACGCGGUCCAGACUCCUACGGGAGGCAGCAGUGGGGAAUUUUGGACAAUGGGCGCAAGCCUGAUCCAGCCAUGCCGCGUGAGUGAAGAAGGCCUUUGGGUUGUAAAGCUCUUUCGGCCGGGAAGAAAUCGCAUGGGUUAAUACCCUGUGUGGAUGACGGUACCGGAAUAAGAAGCACCGGCUAACUACGUGCCAGCAGCCG